UACGUAGGGUGCAAGCGUUGUCCGGAAUUAUUGGGCGUAAAGAGCUCGUAGGCGGUUUGUUGCGUCGGCUGUGAAAUCCCGAGGCUCAACCUCGGGUCUGCAGUCGAUACGAGCAAACUAGAGUGUUGCAGGGGAGACUGGAAUUCCUGGUGUAGCGGUGAAAUGCGCAGAUAUCAGGAGGAACACCGGUGGCGAAGGCGGAUCUCUGGACAGUUCCUGACACUGAGGCACGAAGGCCAGGGGAGCAAACGGG
rnacentral:rRNA from 1 species